UACGAAGGGGGCUAGCGUUGCUCGGAAUCACUGGGCGUAAAGGGUGCGUAGGCGGGUCUUUAAGUCAGGGGUGAAAUCCUGGAGCUCAACUCCAGAACUGCCUUUGAUACUGAAGAUCUUGAGUUCGGGAGAGGUGAGUGGAACUCCGAGUGUAGAGGUGAAAUUCGUAGAUAUUCGGAAGAACACCAGUGGCGAAGGCGGCUCACUGGCCCGGUACUGACGCUGAUGUGCGAAAGCGUGGGGAGCAAACAGG
rnacentral:rRNA from 1 species